rnacentral:rRNA from 1 species
GGGUUGUGAGGUUAAGUGACUAAGCGUACACGGUGGAUGCCUAGGCAGUCAGAGGCGAUGAAGGACGUGCUAAUCUGCGAUAAGCGUCGGUGAGCUGAUAUGAAGCAUUAUUAGCCGGCGAUGUCCGAAUGGGGAAACCCAGUGCAAUCCGUUGCACUAUCGUUAAGUGAAUACAUAGCUUAACGAGGCGAACCAGGGGAACUGAAACAUCUAAGUACCCUGAGGAAAAGAAAUCAACCGAGAUUCCCCAGUAGCGGCGAGCGAACGGGGAAGAGCCCAGAACCUGAAUCAGUUUGUGCAUUAGUGGAAGCGUCUGGAAAGUCGCGCGAUACCGGGUGAUAGCCCCGUACACGAAGGUGCACAGCUGUGAGUUCGAUGAGUAGGGCGGGACACGUGUUAUCCUGUCUGAAUAUGGGGGCUCCAAGGCUAAAUACUCCUGACUGACCGAUAGUGAACCAGUACCGUGAGGGAAAGGCGAAAAGAACGGGAGUGAAAUAGAACCUGAAACCGUGUACGUACAAGCAGUGGGAGCAUCCUUCGGGGUGUGACUGCGUACCUUUUGUAUAAUGGGUCAGCGACUUAUAUUUUGUAGCAAGGUUAACCGAAUAGGGGAGCCGUAGGGAAACCGAGUCUUAACUGGGCGUCUAGUUGCAAGGUAUAGACCCGAAACCCGGUGAUCUAGCCAUGGGCAGGUUGAAGGUUGGGUAACACUAACUGGAGGACCGAACCGACUAAUGUUGAAAAAUUAGCGGAUGACUUGUGGCUGGGGGUGAAAGGCCAAUCAAACCGGGAGAUAGCUGGUUCUCCCCGAAAGCUAUUUAGGUAGCGCCUCGUGAACUCAUCUUCGGGGGUAGAGCACUGUUUCGGCUAGGGGGUCAUCCCGACUUACCAACCCGAUGCAAACUACGAAUACCGAAGAAUGUUAUCACGGGAGACACACGGCGGGUGCUAACGUCCGUCGUGAAGAGGGAAACAACCCAGACCGCCAGCUAAGGUCCCAAAGUCAUGGUUAAGUGGGAAACGAUGUGGGAAGGCAUAGACAGCCAGGAUGUUGGCUUAGAAGCAGCCAUCAUUUAAAGAAAGCGUAAUAGCUCACUGGUCGAGUCGGCCUGCGCGGAAGAUGUAACGGGGCUAAACCAUGCACCGAAGCUGCGGCAGCGACACUAUGUGUUGUUGGGUAGGGGAGCGUUCUGUAAGCCUGUGAAGGUGGCCUGUGAGGGCUGCUGGAGGUAUCAGAAGUGCGAAUGCUGACAUAAGUAACGAUAAAGCGGGUGAAAAGCCCGCUCGCCGGAAGACCAAGGGUUCCUGUCCAACGUUAAUCGGGGCAGGGUAAGUCGACCCCUAAGGCGAGGCCGAAAGGCGUAGUCGAUGGGAAACAGGUUAAUAUUCCUGUACUUGGUGUUAUUGCGAAGGGGGGACGGAGAAGGCUAGACCGGCCGGGCGACGGUUGUCCCGGUUUAAGCGUGUAGGUGUGAUGACCUGGCAAAUCCGGUUAUCUUUAACACUGAGGCGUGAUGACGAGGCACUACGGUGCUGAAGUGGUUAAUGCCCUGCUUCCAGGAAAAGCCUCUAAGCUCUAGAUAACACUGAAUCGUACCCCAAACCGACACAGGUGGUCAGGUAGAGAAUACCAAGGCGCUUGAGAGAACUCGGGUGAAGGAACUAGGCAAAAUGGUGCCGUAACUUCGGGAGAAGGCACGCUGGCAUGUAGGUGAAGUCCCUCGCGGAUGGAGCCGAAGCCAGUCGAAGAUACCAGCUGGCUGCAACUGUUUAAUAAAAACACAGCACUCUGCAAACACGAAAGUGGACGUAUAGGGUGUGACGCCUGCCCGGUGCUGGAAGGUUAAUUGAUGGGGUCAGCCGCAAGGCGAAGCUCUUGAUCGAAGCCCCAGUAAACGGCGGCCGUAACUAUAACGGUCCUAAGGUAGCGAAAUUCCUUGUCGGGUAAGUUCCGACCUGCACGAAUGGCGUAAUGAUGGCCAGGCUGUCUCCACCCGAGACUCAGUGAAAUUGAACUCACUGUGAAGAUGCAGUGUACCCGCGGCAAGACGGAAAGACCCCGUGAACCUUUACUAUAGCUUGACACUGAACAUUGAACCUUGAUGUGUAGGAUAGGUGGGAGGCUUUGAAGUGUGGACGCCAGUCUGCAUGGAGCCGACCUUGAAAUACCACCCUUUAAUGUUUGAUGUUCUAACCUGGUCCCGUAAUCCGGGAUAGGGACAGUGUCUGGUGGGUAGUUUGACUGGGGCGGUCUCCUCCCAAAGAGUAACGGAGGAGCACGAAGGUUAGCUAAUCCUGGUCGGACAUCAGGAGGUUAGUGCAAAGGCAUAAGCUAGCUUGACUGCGAGAGUGACGGCUCGAGCAGGUGCGAAAGCAGGUCUUAGUGAUCCGGUGGUUCUGAAUGGAAGGGCCAUCGCUCAACGGAUAAAAGGUACUCCGGGGAUAACAGGCUGAUACCGCCCAAGAGUUCAUAUCGACGGCGGUGUUUGGCACCUCGAUGUCGGCUCAUCACAUCCUGGGGCUGAAGUAGGUCCCAAGGGUAUGGCUGUUCGCCAUUUAAAGUGGUACGCGAGCUGGGUUUAGAACGUCGUGAGACAGUUCGGUCCCUAUCUGCCGUGGGCGUUGGAAGAUUGAGAGGGGCUGCUCCUAGUACGAGAGGACCGGAGUGGACGCACCGCUGGUGUUCGGGUUGUGAUGCCAAUUGCAUUGCCCGGUAGCUACGUGCGGAAGAGAUAAGCGCUGAAAGCAUCUAAGCGCGAAACUUGCCUCGAGAUGAGUCUUCCCUUGGACCUUGAGUCCACUAAAGGAACGUUUAAGACUAAGACGUUGAUAGGCUGGGUGUGUAAGCGUAGCGAUACGUUGAGCUAACCAGUACUAAUGAUCCGUGAGGCUUAACCUUACAACACCGAAGGUGUUUUAG